AUGGCUGCGCGAGCACUGACCGCCGCCGCCCGCCGGGUGGCCGGCCGGACCAGGACAACGCCUCUUCUCGCCUCCUUCAGGAACGGAGCCAGCAUGAACCACUCCUCGGCCACGGCCAGCGCGCGGCGGGAGGAGGAGCAGUACAAGGACGUGCGCGCGACGAUGACGGGGGCGCAGGUGGAGGCGGCGCUCAACCGCAAGAACGUCGAGGUGCUCCAGGGCGAGGAGGAGCACGUCGCCGCGGUGCUGCCGGACGAGACCAUCGGCGGCGCGCUGGACGGCGGCGAGGACGCGUCCUGGGUGCCCGACCAGGACACGGGCGUCUUCGGCCCCGCCGGCGCCGAUACCCACGGCGGCAGCUUGGCUGCCGCUCCACCGCACCUGUUCGGAGGCGCCACGGCGGCCACCACGGAGGGGACGGCGUCGGUGCUGGACCAGGCGCUGUUCGUCCGGGAGGAGGAGAUGGAGGACGUGGAGAGGCCCGCCGCCGUCGACAUGGCCAACGCCAACGCAGACGUCAACGCCAGCAUCAAGAACUACUAG
rnacentral:rRNA from 1 species